rnacentral:rRNA from 1 species
UACAGAGGUCCCAAGCGUUGUUCGGAUUCAUUGGGCGUAAAGGGUGCGUAGGCGGCGCGGUAAGUCGGGUGUGAAAUCUCGGGGCUUAACUCCGAAACUGCAUUCGAUACUGCCGUGCUUGAGGACUGGAGAGGAGACUGGAAUUCCUGGUGUAGCGGUGAAAUGCGCAGAUAUCAGGAGGAACACCGGUGGCGAAGGCGGGUCUCUGGGCCGAUACUGACGCUGGAGGAGCGAAAGCGUGGGGAGCGAACAGG